UACGUAGGGUGCGAGCGUUAAUCGGAAUUACUGGGCGUAAAGCGUGCGCAGGCGGUUAUGUAAGACAGGUGUGAAAUCCCCGGGCUUAACCUGGGAAUGGCAUUUGGGACUGCAAGGCUUGAGUGCGGCAGAGGAGACUGGAAUUCCUGGUGUAGCAGUGAAAUGCGUAGAUAUCAGGAGGAACACCGAUGGCGAAGGCAGGUCUCUGGGCUGACACUGACGCUCAUGCACGAAAGCGUGGGGAGCAAACGAGGAU
rnacentral:rRNA from 1 species